GUGACUUCAAACCCGAGGUACGUACCGAACCUUGAUUUGUGUGUACCGUUGCACCCCUAUCCACAAAUUACAGCCAC